CUCUGGGCCGUUACUGACGCUGAGGAGCGAAAGGGUGGGGAGCAAACAGGCUUAGAUACCCUGGUAGUCCACCCCGUAAACGUUGGGAACUAGUUGUGGGGACCAUUCCACGGUUUCCGUGACGCAGCUAACGCAUUAAGUUCCCCGCCUGGGGAGUACGGCCGCAAGGCUAAAACUCAAAGGAAUUGACGGGGACCCGCACAAGCGGCGGAGCAUGCGGAUUAAUUCGAUGCAACGCGAAGAACCUUACCAAGGCUUGACAUAUACGAGAACGGGCCAGAAAUGGUCAACUCUUUGGACACUCGUAAACAGGUGGUGCAUGGUUGUCGUCAGCUCGUGUCGUGAGAUGUUGGGUUAAGUCCCGCAACGAGCGCAACCCUCGUUCUAUGUUGCCAGCACGUAAUGGUGGGAACUCAUGGGAUACUGCCGGGGUCAACUCGGAGGAAGGUGGGGAUGACGUCAAAUCAUCAUGCCCCUUAUGUCUUGGGCUUCACGCAUGCUACAAUGGCCGGUACAAUGGGCUGCAAUACCGUGAGGUGGAGCGAAUCCCAAAAAGCCGGUCCCAGUUCGGAUUGAGGUCUGCAACUCGACCUCAUGAAGUCGGAGUCGCUAGUAAUCGCAGAUCAGCAACGCUGCGGUGAAUACGUUCCCGGGUCUUGUACACACCGCCCGUCAAGUCAUGAAAGUCGGUAACACCUGAAGCCGGUGGCC
rnacentral:rRNA from 1 species